GUCAUUGGCUGGGAUUUCACGUGUGUCUGUAUUUUGCCCUCAGCAAGUUUAGAGGCUGAUCAGUUUAGACGCUGAUCAUGUCCACAUAUAUACCGCGCGCCUCCCAGCACACAACGCGGAAGAUUAUCCUAGAGUUAGAUUGGUUUGUUUAGUAGUCAUAGUCACGGUCCAUGUUUAGAGUUCGUUCACGCUGGAUUAUCCGCUCCCAGUUCCUCGUCAUAGUUCAUGUUUCUCGUUUAGUUUAUCGACCCUGUUUUCCGUGACACGACCUUGAUUCAUGUUUAACCCUGUGUAUGCCUGUUUGCCGAUCGCCUGACCUUCGCCUGUUUUGGAUUAUGUUUUGGAUUUGUCUGCCUGUCUCUCUUUUAAAAUAAACAACUGUUCAUACUGCAAUUGCAUCCGUCCUAUCUCCGCUCCGUCACGAUACGUGACAUCGAGUUAAACCUGAUUUCACAUCGCUGGGCUUGUGUGAACACUAGGAUAGCCCAGAAGAAGCUCAUUAAAGCCUACAGGAAGUUCUCACAGCAGUGACACCCAGACAACGUCCAGGAUCCUGAAGAGAAGAACAAGGCUGAGAAGAAGUUCAUAGACAUCGCACAGGCCAAGGAAGUGCUCACUGAGCCAGAAACGAGGAGUUCAUUUGACAAGGGUGAAGACCCAAUGGACCCUGAGAGCAAGCACGGAGAAGGCCAUCACCAUUUCCACGGGGCCUGGGAGAGUUUCCAGGGCUUUAACCCUAUUGGCUCUGGACUGUUCAACUUUAAAUUCAACUUUAACUAAGAUCAUCCAGGAGGACAUCAGUCUGAUCUGAAUAUAUAGCAUCAGGCAUGCAGCGAGAAGUGUAACCUGUUGAACCUGUUUGACACUAACUGCCAUAGAUGUGGCUACAGAAGCCACUGUGGCAUGAAGAUGCAUCAUAUGCUGUUGAAUAUUCUCAGACUUGCCAAGCUGAGCUAAGUGGUAUUAUAUAAAGUAAUUAUUUCAGGGACCAUCAGAGUGUGGGGGUUCAUUCCCAAGCAACCAACUAUCCUAAAACUAUUGUGUGUGUGUGUGUGUGUGUGUGUGUGUGUGUGUGUGUGUGUGUAUAGGAGACUGCACUAUUUUUCUAUCAGUUAAAUAAUGCUGCAUUGUAAAUACACAAUUAAAGAUAUUACGUAUUUAAUUAAAAAGAAAGUGACAUUAUUCUCCGA